rnacentral:sRNA from 1 species
CUGUUGCGGACAGAUCCAGUGAAUAUGGGUAUCCACGCCGCCCGCCGUCACGAUCUUGCCUUCGCCGGCGAUCGCUUCGGUGGCGACGCCGAUGGGGAUCGUCACGUCAGGCUGAAUAUCCGGAUUCCCGGCUUUGCCAAUCGCAAAGAUCCUGCCGUCUUUAAUGCCAAUAUCCGCUUUGACGAUCCCCCAGUGAUCGACAAUCAGCGCAUUGGUGAUCACCAGAUCCACGCAUUCCUGAGACGGCAUUUGCCCCUGGCCCAUGCCGUCGCG